UCUUAUGGCGGUCGUACGUGGGGCACCCUCGGGUGCGCCGGGUGACUACUAACCGGUCUGCUAACCCGCGUACGGCUGCCACCCUC
rnacentral:antisense_RNA from 3 species